ensembl:lncRNA
AAAAGCUGUGUGCGCCUCCGGAGGAUAUUCUGAAUCUGAGCUAUUGCUAUUCAUCCACUGUAAACACAAGCAUAUAGUACCUUGGCCGCAAAGGUGCUCAGGGCCGCAUCCCCACCCACUUUGACCAACCUCUAAAAAAUGGCACGUUUGUGAAAAGCUCAUUGUGGGACAGUGGCUGUAAUUCUGCACCGAGGGUGAAUUUCUUGACCGUCUUCAAAUACUAUGACAACUAUAUAAAAGCAUCCAUAAAGUAGCAUGCCAUGGGACCUUUAACACCUUGUACAUUGGCCAGCCCACGGUGGACAGCUCGGCCCGUAUUUAGAUCAAGCCUCAGGUAAUGGAGUGAUGAACGUUGUCCAUCGGGUGCUGUCGCUGGGCAGGGGAAUCCGGCAGAACCCUGAGGCUGUGUCGAGGCUGGAGAACACCGUUGCUCCACUCCUCUCCUCUAGAGAAGGACGGGUACCAUCGGGGCGCACCAAUCUGUGGGCUUGGUUCACCCAGAUUCAACCGCGUUGACUCCUCCAUGGUGUCAUUCUCCUCCAUCCUGGGCGGCUCCUCUUUCACCUUCUGGAUCAGCGUUUGGGGACCCUGCAGCUGAAUCAUUACAGGCUCCGUCUUGAGCAUGCCCUGCUUUCCAAAUGCAUCGUGGACCUCCUCGAUGCGUUUCACAAGGCCCGUCUCUGCUGCAGUGGGACGGCUGAGGUAGUUGCUGACACCCUCUUGUCUGAUGACAUAUAUUGGGAAGGAGUAUGACUUGUCCUUGUAUGUAGUGCUCGCUUGAAAAUGUCUUUGACAAGUUGACCCCCUGGGCUGCGUAGUGAGAUGCUGGUCUUCUUUAGUUCUCAAUCUGGAAUUAGCAUCUAGCAAUUAGCCAGUAUCUUCCCACGUGAUGCUAACAUCAGCUCCUGUGUCAAUCUUAAAUUUCACAGUUGUUGCACUGAUGAGAAGCACUGUCCGUUGCUCAUUUCUCUUGUCUGCAUUCACUGCCCCCACAUAGUAUGCAUUCUGCUCAUCAGGCUCUGUAACUUCACUCACCUUGAUCACCUUCUAUGUCACCCCAUCUCUCUCUCUCUCUCUCUCUCUCUCUCUCUCUCUCUCUCUCUCUCUCUCUCUCUCUCUCUCUCUCUCUUUCUCUUAUUUGAUCAGAAACAUAGUAAUGUACGGUAUUUUAAGGCAAUUUAGAGAAAAUCUGAAGUUAUACAGUAGAAUAAUAUUUACUGUGAAUGUAUACCGUCGUUCUGUUAUUAUUGUGAUGUGUUUAUAGGCCUAUUACAUAGUAAUACACUGUACACAACAUUCAAAGUAUUUAACUGUGCAGAAACACAGUUAAUUACCGUGGAUAUAUAACAUUAUUUUGCGGUAACUGUUGAUUAGCGCCGGUCAAACAAUUCUUAUAAAUUCCGGCACAACCUGAGUAGAUGCCGCAGGGGGAAAGCUGUACUCUUUUCAAAUGUGUUAAUAAAUAUUGUUAAAAUAGUGAAAUACUUAAAACAACACUUUCUUGUGUGAUAACAUCAGCCUGAUCACUAAAACAUACACUUUUUAGUUUUUUUAAUUGGUUAAAUGAAAAUACGGCACUGAAAAAGAAGUUUGGCUGGAAUCAGACCAAUGCUAACGUUACAUGGUAAACCAGGUUCUUCUUCGGCUGUCGUCUUCCGGUCUGAUGGCCGUCUUGCGUGAUGGUGUGUUGGUUGCGUUCCCCAAAAGCUUAUUCUGUUUCAACUUUUUGCAGCCUGAUUUGGUUUGAAUGCAGCCUUGCACGAUGCAAUGCUAUGCACGCAGAGCUUGCAGUGUAGCUCCCUUAGUCAAAUAGGAUAACGUUUAUUUAUAGCAUGUACAAAGGGUACAAAUAAACAUUAUUCAAUUUGAUCCAUUUUAUUUCAGGUGAAUUAUAACUGUAUAUUAUAACUUGAGACCAUAACACACGUCAUGUUUGUUGAACAUAUUUACUGUUAGAAUGAGUGGGGUGGGGGGGAAUUGGUGCAAGACAUUGUUUGUGGGUUAUUUUGCUUGGCACAC